AGGCCGGAUCGAGCCGCGCUCUGGCCCCGCCCCGGCUUCGGGCUGGUUCGCCCCGCCCCUCGCGCCCUGCCCGCCCGCCUCACCCAGCCUCGCCGGGACCCUGCUCCAGCUCUCCGCCCUGGGCAAGUCGGGGCAGGGGGGGCUCGCUAACCCCUACCGGGAGGAAAACCCUGGCCCUGCUGUGAUUCCCCAAAACUCUGGGAAUUGGCCAUGCCCCCCGAUCGGACCUCCAGGUCCCCUAACGCUCAAGAAGUCCUCAGCCAGUACGACUCCAGGUUCAAAGAGAAAGUUUGGGGUUUGGUAAACAUUAAACAAUUUAAGAGAUGUAUGUAUUCGAGACUUGCAACAGUAUCCAGAUGCUCCUGAACGCGGAGACAAACCACUCACACUACCUUUGCUCUAAGAACACUGCUCCGCAAACAUUGGUUCAAGAAAAGGUCCACAGAACUCCUAUCCAGCCCUAGACCCAGAGAAAUUCUGAAUUUACCACCAAAUGUGUUUUUCAGAACCAAAAAAGUGACCGGUUUCCCACCCCCAAUAAGCAGGCUUUUAAGAAAGUAGAUUGGCCCUGGGAAGUUUGUAAAUCUUCAACUAGUGGUUGCCACUAUCUUAAGGGAAGUAUUUACAGUGAGUAAACUGCGUGAAUAAUACCCUGGUAUGUGAUGAGGGGGAUGAUUUCCUGGUCCUGAGGUCGUUAACUGCGCUGCCCUAAGAAGGAAGAAACUGACUUAAUGGAGCAGGGCUGUUCUUUGCCAGUCAGUCAAGAGAUGUUUUUUUAAGAGUCGGACAUACAGAGAUGGCCUUAGGUCGGAAGACAGAGCCCCAGCCCUUGAGUGCCUCGGUCUGGAAGGGCACACAGAAAAAGGCAAGCGGGCACGAUGAUAGAAGCAAUCAGAGAGACAAGGAAGAAGCAGCGCUGGAGAAGGCCACAUGGAAGGUGAAGUGUCUCAGAGAGACCUCAGGCAGUAGAGGCCACUGUUUCUGCAUAGACCACAGUGUCUGUGCACACUGGUCAUGUAAACUGGGUGUUGUUCUUGGAUGUCACAGGAUGGCUGUGGUAGCUGGAAACACCUACAUCAGAUCUUGGAGUACUCUGACCAGGAUUUCCUACUGAAGACUCACAUCAUUCUGAAUGUAUCAACUGUCUUAGUCUAAUCAUUGUUAAUGGGCCUGAAGACAGGCACCUCAUCAUCAGAUAACCAACACUGCUUGUUACCGGGUAGUCUGGACCAAAUCAAUGUUUUAUUGUGAGAGGGGGGGUCAAUAUCCAUGAAGUCAGAGAGUUCUGUCCACCACAGCUUGUCUUCCAACCAUAUUACCUGUGUUCAACUGAAAAUAUUUCGACACAUUUACCGCCCAAAGUUAAUUUUCUGAAUCUUCCCCAUA